rnacentral:rRNA from 1 species
UACGGAGGGUGCAAGCGUUAUCCGGAUUUACUGGGUUUAAAGGGUGUGUAGGCGGACUUUUAAGUCAGCGGUGAAAUCUCCGGGCUCAACCCGGAAACUGCCAUUGAUACUAUUGGUCUUGAAUGUUGUUGAGGUGGGCGGAACGGGUCAUGUAGCGGUGAAAUGCAUAGAUAUGACCCGGAACACCGAUUGCGAAGGCAGCCCACUAAGCAACGAUUGACGCUGAGGCACGAAAGCGUGGGGAUCAAACAGGGA